CACAGCCGCCAACAACUACCGCCCUCUCAGCGUCGCGGGCGGUUUGAACGGACCGGAAGUAGAAGUCGAGCGACUUCCGGUAGCUGGACGUGGAAGAGCAAGGAGUGUCGAGAAUGGCGACCAAGCGGCUCGCGCGGCAGCUUGGAUUAAUUAGGAGAAAGUCAAUUGCACCAGCAAAUGGAAAUCUAGGAAGAAGGAAAUCCAAGCAGUUGUUUGACUACUUAAUUGUCAUUGAUUUUGAAUCGACAUGCUGGAAUGAUGGGAAGCACCACCAUAGCCAGGAAAUAAUUGAAUUUCCAGCAGUGUUGCUAAACACAUCAACUGGACAGAUUGAAUCUGAGUUCCAGGCUUAUGUUCAACCUCAGGAACAUCCAAUUCUUUCAGAAUUUUGCAUGGAAUUGACAGGCAUAAAGCAGGCUCAAGUUGAUGAAGGAGUCCCUCUGAAGAUUUGCUUAUCUCAGUUCUGUAAAUGGAUUCAUAAGAUUCAGCAACAGAAGAACAUUAUUUUUGCUACUGGGGUUUCAGAGCCUUCUACUUCUGAAGUAAAAUUAUGUGCAUUUGUUACUUGGUCAGACUGGGACUUGGGGGUUUGCCUGGAGUAUGAGUGUAAAAGAAAACAGCUGUUAAAACCUGUGUUUUUAAAUUCUUGGAUUGAUCUCAGAGCAACUUACAAGCUUUUCUAUAGGAGAAAACCGAAAGGACUAAGUGGUGCCUUGCAGGAAGUAGGAAUAGAAUUCUCAGGACGAGAACAUUCUGGGUUGGACGAUUCUCGGAAUACCUCCCUUCUUGCUUGGAAAAUGAUCAGAGAUGGUUGUGUAAUGAAAAUUACAAGGUCGUUGAACAAGGUGUGGCUGUCACUGGCAUGUCUGCAAAGGAAAAACUACAAUGACUGCAUGUUAAACACAGCAUCACAGACUGUUACCACUGAAAAAUUUUGAGAAGCUCUCCACUUGAACCUCUUCAUGUCAUGAAUCAGGAUGGAUCUCACUCUGUCACCCAGACUGGAGUGCAGUGGCACGACCACCCCUCCCUGCAGCCUGAACUUCUGGGAUGAAGCGAUCCUCCUGCCUCAGCCUCCAGAGUACCUGGAAUUACAGUCUAAAGAAGAGGGAGGAGCAGUCUGAUAAUCCGGAGGAGCAAGACUGGCCCAAAGCACUUUCCUUGAUUAGUGGAGACAUUCUGGAGGAGGAGCCAAGCUCUGGGCUAAAGUUUACAGGACUCCCAGCGGUUCCUCUUACAGGUAAUGAUUUACAGACACAGCAAGCUUUUGAGGGGCCGAGAAAGCAAAUUAUUCACAAGAAGGAAAGUGUCCAAGGAGUUGCCGAAGUGGUCAGUUCUGUAAAGGGGCAGAGAGAGCACUUCUCAGAAGGACGAACAGAUGGAGGAAGCCAUAGAGGAGUUUUGAAAUUGAAAGGAAAGAAGUUGAGGGGCGGUUAUGGGUUGGCCUAAAUCUUAUCAAGCCCAUUGGUGCGUUUAUCUGUCGAAGUGGCAGGACUAAACAUAAAUGCUAUCAGGUUACUCCCCUGCUCAAAUCUUUCAGUGCUUCUCUUUCCACUCCAGGUAAAAUCCGAGUCCUUACAUGAACUGCAAGGAGUUGUAUGAUCUGGCACAGGGUCCUCUGAUCCACAGCCCAUUCUCCUUCCUCUGCCUCACUCUGCACAGCCACCAGCCUCCUUGCUUUUUCUCAAACACACUUGCCUGUUUCAGCCUCAGGCUUUCUGAAUUCACAGUUCCCACUGACUGGAACUCUUUCCUCAGAUAUCCCCCUGGCCAAAUUCCUCAUUUUAUGAGGUGUCUUAUUAAAUAACUCUUUCCUUACCUCAUUUUCUAAAGUAGCACUCUUCAUUUUUUCUCUUUUACCUUUUUUUAACUUUUUACAUCUCUUACUAUCAUCCUUGAGGGUAAGAACUCUUUUUGUUUGAUGGUGUAUCUAUUGCCUGGAAUAGCUACUGGCAAAUUUUAGGCAUUCAAUAAAUAGUUGAUGGAUAUGUGAAUAAAUAAAGGACUCUUUCAAUUACACGUGAGAGACCCAACUUAAAUUUACUUAAAGAGGAAUUUGUUGGUCACUUUUGAGUUCUAGGAGUCUUUUGUUGUUGAUUCCUUGGGAUUUUCUGUGUAAUCACAUUACCUGUAAAUAAGUAAACAGAUUUUACUUCUUUCUUUCAGAUCUAUAUGCUUUUUAUUUCCUUUUCUUGCCUUAUUGCGCAGGCUAGAAUGUCUAGCUCUAUGUUAAAUAAGAGUGAUGAGAGCAGACAUCCUUGCCUUGCUUUUGAUCUUAGAGGGAAAACAUUCAGUCUUUCAUGGUUAGGUACAAUAUUAGUUGUAGGUUUUGUGUAGAUGCUCUUUAUCAAGUUGAGGAAAUUCUCUAUUUCUAUUUUUUUCUGAGUGUUUUUAUCAUGAAUAGGUGUUGAAUUUUGGCAAGUGUUUUUUCUUCAUCAGUUACUAUAAGCAUGUGGUGUUUUUCUUCUUUAGCCUGUUAAUAAGAUAGAUUACACUGAUCUUCUAAUAUUGAACCAGCCUUGCCUCCCUGGAAUAAACCUCGCUUGGUCCUGGUGUAUAUUUCUUUUUCUGUAUUGCUGAAUUCUAUAGUUAUGUCUCUUGACAAAUUUGAGAACUUUUCAGCUAUUAUUUCUUGGAGUAAAUUUUUAGCGCACAUGUUAGAUCUUUUAUGAUAGUUUCACAGGUCCCUGAGGCUCUGUUCUUUUUUUUCCUUUUUUCCCAUUCUAGUUUCUUUCUGUUGUUCAGGUUGAGUAAAUUCUGGUUUCCAGUUCUUUGAUUUUUUUCUUCUAUUAUUUCUAUUCUGAUGUUAAGCUCAUUAUUAGAGAUAGGGAAAAAACUUUUUUUUUUUCUACUCUCACAUACCAUUCAACAUAAUGUUAGCAGUGGUGAAUCCAUAUGGAUCUACAGUAACUUGAUUCUUGCCUCUUCAAAGGAAAGAAUUCAUCCAAGAGGCAUAAGGCAGAGUGAGAGACUGAGGCAAGUUUUUGAGCAGGAGUGAGAGUUUAUUAGAAAGUUUUAGAGCAGGAACCAAAGGAAGAGGGGCAAGCAGGCAACUUGAGAGAUCCAGGUGCCCUGUUUGACUUUUGACUUUGUGUUGUAUAUGUUGGCAUGCUUCCGAGGUUUUGUAUCUCCUUUGAUUUUUUCCUUGGCGUGGGCUGUCUGCACAUGCAGUGGCCUGUCAGCACUUGGGAGGGGCCGCAUGUGCAAUGUCUUUACUGAAGUUGUGCACAUUCUCAUUUGAGGCGUUUUUACCUUACCAGUCAAGUGUUCCUAGAGGAAGGUUGUAUACCAGUUAAAAUCUGCCAUUUUGCCUCUUAGUGCGCAUGCUUGAACACACUUGCCCAGCUCCUGAGAUCUUAUUGGAAAGCUGCUGAUCACCAGCUUUAGGUGUUUUCUAUCUCUUAGGAGACUGCCUUUCCCUGGCACCUACUGCAACCAAUUAUUUUAGAGUGACAGUUUAAUAACCGCCUGACCAUCACCUGAUUGUCACCUGACAUUCUUGCCUUUCCUGCCUUGCCCAUAUCUGCCUGACUACCUACUCUAACAAUAACACUUCUGACACUAGACGCGUGGGGGGUUUUCACUAUACCAAGCAAUUCUCCAGUGGACACCAGCUUGGGUGUCAUGUCCUACUCAGUUCAACACUGUCUGCCUGGAAAUAGUGUCAGAUCCUACAGGUUAAGGUCUCAAUCUGUAAACUAAAAAGUAUCUGAGACAGGUCUCAAUUAAUUUAGAGGUUUAUUUUGCCAUGGUUAAGGACCAUGAUGCAUGACACAACUUUAGGAGGUCCUGAGAACAUGUGCCCAAGGUGAUUGGGUUACAGUUUGAUUUGAUACAUUUUAGGGACAAAGAAGUUAUAGGCAAAGACAUAAAACAAUACAUGCUGAGGAGGCUGAGGCAGAAAAAUUGCUCAAACCUGGGAGGUGGAGGUUGCAGUGAGCUGAGAUCAUGCCACCGCACUCCAGCCUGGGCACUCCAGCCUGGGUGACAGAGUGAGACUCCAUCUCAAAAAAAAAAUGUGUAUACAUUGGUUCAGCCUGGAAAGUUGGGACAUCUCAAAGGAGGAAGGGGCUGGGCUUUCAGGUAAUAGGUGGAUUUAAAGAUCUCCUGAUUGGCAAUUGGUUGAAAGGGCUAAACUCUGGCUGAAGAGUUGAAAUCAGCUUGAGUUAAGGUAAAGGGUGCGGGUUUGCAGAAGCCAAGGUUCUUUUCAAGUAGAUGAAGCCUCCAGGUAGCAGGCCUCAAAGACAACACUUGUGAAUGUCUCUUAUUAGACCUUAAAAGGUAUCACACUCUCUGGAAAUACAUAGUAAAGAUGAAGAAGGAAUUAAUGAAAUCAACUAUAACCUAAUAGUAGUAGUAAUAGAAAUUUUUAAAUCCUCUUAAAGUUGCUGCAACUUUAACUUGAGUUAUACUCAAGUUAAAAGAGAAUAUUAACAGCCUGUCUUCUCUCUGUGGUCAGUGGACCUUAUCUAUACUCCCCAACUACACAUUCCUCAAAAUUUAUUACAGGCCCAGUGAGUUCCUGCUUACCUCCCUAGCAUGGCUGCAGGGUCGCAAGACCAAUAACUUUAAGUUGCAAGACAUGUUUUUCUCAAGAUGUAAGAAAUGUUGUAAUGCUUGAUUAACUGCCUUUGUUUCUCACUUCUGUAACUUGCUUCCCACCUCACGUAGUUCCCGCCUUAAGAUGUUUAAAAGUAGGGAAAGCCCUUUGUUCGGGGCUCAGACUUUCUGGACAUAUGUCUGGCUGAGCCAGUGAUCACCUUAAUAAACUCUCCUGAACCU